AUGAAGUUGCCUGUUCUGCUGUUGGUGCUGCUGUUGCUCAGGAUUCCUGCUUCCAGAGGAGAUGUUGUGAUGACCCAAACUCCAACCUCCCUGCCUGUCAGCCUUGGAGAUCAAGCCUCCCUCUCCUGCAAGUCUAGUCAGACCCUCGUACUAAGUAGUGGAAACAUAUAUUUGUACUGGUACCUGCAGAAGCCAGGCCAGUCUCCACAACUCUUGAUAUACAAGGUUUCCAACCAAUUUUCUGGAGUCCCAGACAGGUUCAGUGGCAGUGGGUCAGGCACAGAUUUCACACUCAAGAUCAGCAGAGUGGAACCUGAGGAUUUAGGAGUCUAUUACUGCAUGCAAGCAAUAGAAACACUAAGAUUCCUAACAUAA